CAUUGCAUAAGAAAUUCACAUGUUUGAACUGAUAUUGCCUUUUUGCUGUUGUUUAAUAUUUUAACUGCGAUUAGUGGGUUGACCUUAAUUUUCUUGUGACAUACGCCUAAAUAAAAGUCCGCUGAAUCGCUACUAGUUUUCAUGUAUGUUUACUUACAUAUACUACAUGAAUGGGUGAACUCGGAAUAAUUUUUGGGCCACGAGUUGAGGAAGUAGAUAAGAGAAGUGAAAUAUAAUAAAAAUAUCAUCCUUUAAUGACCAGGAUGGAUGGCCACCCGGAUUGAUUAUGGACAAACACGUGAGG